AUGAUCAUGGCAGAGACAACAAGAUCAUCUGUCAUCCAAAUACAUCAGGACAAUUAUUCACCGCCGAAGUGGAGUUAUAUCGCGGAUAUGGGGUGCAUAGCAUCAUCAUUUUGCACUAACAUUUAUCCGUGCUGCCGUGCUCAACGGAAGUGCUUACGCUGCCGCCCUUGCGGUCUGGUCUACAUCAACACACCGGGCCGCACCUGUCUGCAUGAGCUAUUUAUUGAGUAUGAGAAAGUCACUACUUGGGUAGCCCGGUUUUCUUCCAAAAAAUUGGAGGCAAAUUAUCAUCAGCCGCCGUCUGCGCUGGAUGGCUCAAUGGACAUGUGCACAAGUCGCCGGCACUACAGUUUGGUUAACUUCAAACAGCCAGUUGGGAGGAACCAUUGGCCGAGUUGCUGA
rnacentral:rRNA from 1 species